rnacentral:rRNA from 1 species
GGAGGGGGCAAGCGUUGUUCGGAAUUAUUGGGCGUAAAGGGCGCGUAGGCGGCCUUGUAAGUCGGUUGUGAAAUCCCUUGGCUCAACCAAGGAACUGCAACCGAAACUGCAGGGCUCGAGUCCGGGAGAGGGUAGUGGAAUUCCCAGUGUAGCGGUGAAAUGCGUAGAUAUUGGGAGGAACACCGGUGGCGAAGGCGGCUACCUGGACCGGUACUGACGCUGAGGCGCGAAAGCUAGGGGAGCAAACAGGAUUAGAUACCCUGGGUAGUCCUAGCUGUAAACGAUGAGCACUUGGUGCAGCGGGUAUUGACCCCCCUGCUGUGCCCGUAGCUAACGCGUUAAGUGCUCCGCCUGGGGGAGUACGGUCGCAAGGCUG